rnacentral:rRNA from 1 species
GUGGGGAAUCUUGCGCAAUGGGCGAAAGCCUGACGCAGCCAUGCCGCGUGAAUGAUGAAGGUCUUAGGAUUGUAAAAUUCUUUCACCGGGGACGAUAAUGACGGUACCCGGAGAAGAAGCCCCGGCUAACUUCGUGCCAGCAGUCGCGGUAAUACGAAGGGGGCUAGCGUUGCUCGGAAUUACUGGGCGUAAAGGGCGCGUAGGCGGACAGUUUAGUCAGAGGUGAAAGCCCAGGGCUCAACCUUGGAAUUGCCUUUGAUACUGGCUGUCUUGAGUACGGGAGAGGUGAGUGGAACUCCGAGUGUAGAGGUGAAAUUCGUAGAUAUUCGGAAGAACACCAGUGGCGAAGGCGACUCACUGGCCCGUUACUGACGCUGAGGCGCGAAAGCGUGGGGAGCAAACAGGAUUAGAAACCCGGGUAGUCC